CCUACGGGAGGCAGCAGUGGGGAAUAUUGCACAAUGGGCGAAAGCCUGAUGCAGCAACGCCGCGUGAGCGAUGAAGGCCCUCGGGUCUUAAAGCUCUUUCCUCAAGGAAGUUAAUUACGGUACUUGAGGAUGAAGCCCCAUCUAAGUACGUGCCAGCAGCCGCGGUAAUACGUAGGGGGCUAGCGUUAUCCGGAAUUACUGGGCGUAAAGGGUACGUAGGUGGUUUCUUAAGGCAGAGGUGAAAGGCUACGGCUAAACCGUAGUAAGCCAUUGAAACUGGCAAACUUGAGUGUGUGAGAGGAUAGUGGAAUUCCAGGUGUAGGAGUGAAAUCCGUAGAUAUCUGGAGGAACAUCAGUGGCGAAGGCGACUAUCUGGCACAUCACUGACGCUGAGGAGCGAAAGCGUGGGUAGCAAACAGGAUUAGAUACCCGAGUAGUC
rnacentral:rRNA from 1 species